rnacentral:rRNA from 1 species
CCGAAUGCCCCAGAGCUUACAUUGAUCAUGGCUCAGAGUGCCCGGGGGGUAAUAGCCUAACACAUGCAAGUCGAACGGCAGCACAGGAGAGCUUGCUCUCUGGUGUGGCGAGUGGCGGACGGGUGAGGAAUACAUCGGAAUCUACUCUGUCGUGGGGGAUAACGUAGGGAAACUUACGCUAAUACCGCAUACGACCUACGGGUGAAAGCAGGGGAUCUUCGGACCUUGCGCGAUUGAAUGAGCCGAUGUCGGAUUAGCUAGUUGGCGGGGUAAAGGCCCACCAAGGCGACGAUCCGUAGCUGGUCUGAGAGGAUGAUCAGCCACACUGGAACUGAGACACGGUCCAGACUCCUACGGGAGGCAGCAGUGGGGAAUAUUGGACAAUGGGCGCAAGCCUGAUCCAGCCAUACCGCGUGGGUGAAGAAGGCCUUCGGGUAGUAAAGCCCUUUUGUUGGGAAAGAAAUCCAGCCGGCUAAUACCUGGUUGGGAUGACGGUACCCAAAGAAUAAGCACCGGCUAACUUCGUGCCAGCAGCCGCGGUAAUACGAAGGGUGCAAGCGUAUACUCGGAAUUACUGGGCGUAAAGCGUAGCGUAGGUAGGUCANUUAAGUCCGUGUGAAAGGCCCGGGGCUCCAAACCCUG